rnacentral:rRNA from 1 species
GUUGAACGCUGGCGGAAUGCCUAACACAUGCAAGUCGAACGAGCUGUAGCAAUACAGCUAGUGGCGGACGGGUGAGGAACACAUAGGAAUCUACCUUUUAGUGGGGGAUAACCCGGGGAAACUCGGAUUAAUACCGCAUAAGAUCUACGGAUGAAAGUGGGGGACCGCAAGGCCUCACGCUGUUAGAUGAGCCUAUGCCCGAUUAGCUAGUUGGUAGGGUAAUGGCCUACCAAGGCGACGAUCGGUAGCUGGUUUGAGAGGGCGACCGGCCACACUGGGACUGAGACACGGCCCAGACUCCUACGGGAGGCAGCAGUGGGGAAUCUUGCGCAAUGGGCGAAAGCCUGACGCAGCGACGCCGCGUGAGGGAUGACGGCCU